rnacentral:misc_RNA from 1 species
UCUCCGUUGGUGAACCAGCGGAGGGAUCAUUACUGGAAUCGCAAGAUCCCACAACCCUGUGAACCUACCGAAACGUUGCCUCGGCGGGUGCCCGGCCCCCGCGCCGGGCGCUGCGCCCGCCGGCGGCCCCCUACUCCGUCUCUGCAGCGUGGCAUCUCAGAGUCCCAGAAAACAAGUCAAAACUUUCAACAACGGAUCUCUUGGCUCUA